rnacentral:rRNA from 1 species
AAUAAAACUAUAAGACGAAAAGACCCUAUGGAGCUUUAAACUUAUUUCCACUUAUUUAAUCACAUAACAAUUUAAAUAAUAAGAGUGUUCUUUAAUAGUUUUUGGUUGGGGCGACCCUGGAGAAAAAUAAAUCCUCCAGAUUGAAAAAAUAACCCUUAUAUAAGAACCACAAUUCAAAUAAACAAAAAUUUGACAAAACUGACCCAGAAUAACUGAUCAGUGAACCAAGUUACCCUAGGGAUAACAGCGCUAUCCAUUUUGAGAGUCCGUAUUGACAAAUGGGUUUACGACCUCGAUGUUGGAUCGGGGUAUCCCAGCAGCGCAGCAGUUGCUAAUGGUUCGUUUGUUCAACGACUAACACCCCACGUGAUCUGAGUUCAAACNNGA